ACUGGAGUUCAUCCGCGUGCUCCUCCGAUCGGAUGCAACACUCAAGUCGGCCUGGACUCGCCGGAGAACUCGCCGCCUAUCUACAGACAGCAAGUCACGGUGAUCCGCGUUUAGCCUCCCCUAACCACAGCAUGCCACU